UACGUAGGGUGCGAGCGUUAAUCGGAAUUACUGGGCGUAAAGCGUGCGCAGGCGGUUUUGUAAGUCAGAUGUGAAAUCCCCGGGCUUAACCUGGGAACUGCGUUUGAAACUACAAGGCUAGAGUGUAGCAGAGGAGACUGGAAUUCCUGGUGUAGCAGUGAAAUGCGUAGAUAUCAGGAGGAAUACCGAUGGCGAAGGCAGGUCUCUGGGCUGACACUGACGCUCAUGCACGAAAGCGUGGGGAGCAAACAGG
rnacentral:rRNA from 1 species